rnacentral:rRNA from 1 species
GAUGAACGCUGGCGGCGUGCUUAACACAUGCAAGUCGAACGGAGUUUAAGAAGGAAGCUUGCUUUCAUUUUAAACUUAGUGGCGGACGGGUGAGUAACGCGUGAGGAACCUGCCCUUUAGUGGGGAACAACAACUAGAAAUGGUUGCUAAUACCGCAUAAUGUCGGAGUACCGCAUGACAUUCCGACCAAAGGAUUUAUUCGCUGAAGGAUGGCCUCGCGUCCGAUUAUAUAGUUGGUGAGGUAACGGCCCACCAAGUCUACGAUCGGUAGCCGAACUGAUAGGUUGAUCGGCCACAUUGGGACUGAGACACGGCCCAUACUCCUACGGGAGGCAGCAGUGGGGAAUAUUGGGCAAUGGGCGAAAGCCUGACCCAGCUACGCCGCGUGAAGGAUGACGGUCUUCGGAUUGUAGACUUCUUUAAUUGGGGAAGAACAAAAUGACCUACCCAAAGAAUAAGUCACGGCUAACUACGUGCCAGCAGCCGCGGUAAUACGUAGGUGACAAGCGUUAUCCGGAUUUACUGGGCGUAAAGGGCGUGUAGGCGGUCUUGCAAGUCAGAAGUGAAAUUCCUGAGCUCAACUCGGGCGCUGCUUCUGAAACUGCAGGACUUGAGUGCUGGAGGGGAUAGCGGAAUUCCUAGUGGAGCGGUAAAAUGCGCAGAUAUUAGGAAGAACACCGGUGGCGAAGGCGGCUAUCUGGACAGUAACUGACGCUGAGGCGCGAAAGCGUGGGGAGCAAACA